UGAAAGGCCAACGGCCGACAAACCCGCACUCCCCGCACCUCCCACACACGUGCCUAGACUAAGUCUACAGCCCUAAUGCCUCUGAGCAGGGCGCAUAACGCUAUUCACUGGCCCCCUCCGUGAUACUACAUGUUUCCAUUGUUUCUAGCACGAGGGAGUAAAGCAGAGAUCACCUUAUAAAAACCGGGUGGCAUAGCACCUGUGCAAUAUUAUAUAUGUUGAUUAUCUGG